rnacentral:pre_miRNA from 12 species
CAGCUCUGCUGUGGCCUAUGGCUUUUCAUUCCUAUGUGAUUGCCGUUGGAACUCAUGUAGGGCUAAAAGCCAUGGGCUACAGUGAGGGGC